AUUGAACGCUGGCGGCAGGCCUAACACAUGCAAGUCGAACGAGUGGCGGACGGGUGAGUAAUGUCUGGGAACCUGCCUGAUGGAGGGGGAUAACUACUGGAAACGGUAGCUAAUAACGCAUAGCAUCAGAUGUGCACAGAUGGGAUUAGCUAUGAGGUGGGGUAAAGGCUCACCUAGGCGACGAUCCCUAGCUGGUCUGAGAGGAUGACCAGCCACACUGGAACUGAGACACGGUCCAGACUCCUACGGUAGGCAGCAGUGGGGAAUAUUGCACAAUGUGCGCAAGCCUGAUGCAGCCAUGCCGCGUGUAUGAAGAGGGCCUUCGGGUUGUAAAGUACUUUCAGCGGGGAGGCGUUACCCGCAGAAGAAGCACCGGCUAACUCCGUGCCAGCAGCCGCGGUAAUUC
rnacentral:rRNA from 1 species